rnacentral:rRNA from 1 species
AAACCAACAGGGAUUACCUCAGUAACGGCGAGUGAAGCGGUAACAGCUCAAAUUUGAAAUCUGGCUCUUUCAGGGUCCGAGUUGUAAUUUGUAGAAGAUGCUUCGGGUGUGGUCCCGGUCUAAGUUCCUUGGAACAGGACGUCAUAGAGGGUGAGAAUCCCGUAUGUGACUGGGUGCCUUCGCUCAUGUGAAGCUCUUUCGACGAGUCGAGUUGUUUGGGAAUGCAGCUCUAAAUGGGUGGUAUAUUUCAUCUAAAGCUAAAUAUUGGCCAGAGACCGAUAGCGCACAAGUAGAGUGAUCGAAAGAUGAAAAGCACUUUGGAAAGAGAGUUAAACAGUACGUGAAAUUGUUGAAAGGGAAGCGCUUGCAACCAGACUUGCCCGCCGUCGAUCAUCCGGGGUUCUCCCCGGUGCACUCGGCGGCGUUCAGGCCAGCAUCGGUUUCGGGGGUGGGAUAAAGGCCUUGGGAAUGUAGCUUCUUUCGGGGAGUGUUAUAGCCCUCGGUGCAAUGCCGCCUCUCGGGACCGAGGACCGCGCUUCGGCUAGGAUGCUGGCGUAAUGGUUGUAAGCGAC